AAUUUCUCUCAUAGGUUCAUGAAGAAUUUCCUUUGAAAGAAGCUGCUGCAUCAUGGUCUCUACAAUAGACUCCAUGUCCUGAGAACCAGCCAGCUCCUCAAACUGUUUGACCCAAUCCUCCAUCAUUGGAUCACUUCCAAAGUUCUCCACACUGGGUCUUGGCCCUGCCACUGAUUCCAAUCCUUUAACAGCCUCUCUUGUCUGCUCUCUAAGCUUAUCAAGAGCUUCCGAGACAUGCGAGUCCUUCACCUCCUUGGCAGCCUUUUGCUUCCCUUUAUUCUUAGCUUUCAAAUUGGGUAACGACAUCCCAAGCCCUUGAACCUCACUAGGCAUACAAGAACUCUCUUUCUUGCCCUCUCCAUCCCCAUUUCUUUGAGAAGCAGUAGUGAGAUUGAGGCUCUGAAAAUCAUCCAAAGCACCUAAAAAUAAUGAAUUUCCAAUCAAAAUCAAUUCAAUCUUCUCCUCAAAAUCAAACACUUACCUCAUAACUGUUGCUUUCGGUGUGAAAAAAAACAUUAAUAUCAAACACUGUAUUCACUCCAAAGCAACUGACUAUAUAGGCAAGAAACAGGUUAAUAGAAAUAAAUUGGUCGAAAUGGGUAAAAGGGUGUUUGCUACUUACUGUCAAGAAGUUGGUCUAAAUCAUCAGAGUGGUCCGUAGCCAUGGAUGCCUCUAAGCUCCGCGUCUCCUCUAUUGCCAAAACCUAAUCUUUUUGAAUCAAAGAUAAUGAAUA
rnacentral:misc_RNA from 1 species